GUGUUACUCCCAAGCUGGAGGCGCAUUGGGGGAGCGUCAAUGACCCAACUGCACUUUCUUGGGAAUAUUACUCCAUUUGUCAUCAGAUGUUUCUCAUCGUCCAAACAGCAUUCUUUUACAGUUUCUUACCUCAUAAACUCAUGUGGGUUGUCCACAGAAAGUGCCAUUUCUACUUCCAAGAAGGUACAAUUUGAAAACCCUAAAAAUCCAGACUCUGUUCUUACCCUUCUCAAGAACCAUGGAUGCAACGAUACCCAUAUCUCCAAAAUUGUAGCCAAGCUUCCUCUACUGCUCUUAGCCAAUCCUGAGAAGACCCUUUUGCCUAAACUCCAGUUUCUAGGUUCGGUAGGCCUCUCCCAUGUGAAUCUCGCAAAGAUUUUGGCUUCAAACCCAAGUAUAUUGCACAGGAGCUUGGAAAAUAAUCUAAUUCCGACUUACAAUCUCCUCAAGGGUGUGGUAAUCGGCGAUGAAAAUGCAGCAAAGGCUGUCGUGAGGCAUUGCUGGAUUCCUAGUGAAGAUUUGGAGAAGACCAUUGCUCCUAAUGUCAGGCUUCUGAGAGAAAUUGGAGUUCCUAUGGCGCAUAUCUCAUUCUUAGCAACCUUUUUCUCUAUACUGGCCCAAAAGAGUGAUAAGUUCAGCAAAGAUGUCAACAAAGUUAUGGGAAUGGGAUUUGAUCCUCAGAAAAUGGUCUUCGUGAAUGCACUCCAUGUGAUUUGCCAAAUGUCUGAAUCAAAUUGGUAUCAGAAGAUUAAGACCUAUAGGAGGUGCGGUCUGUCCGAGGAUGAAAUUAUGUUGGCCUUCAGAAAUCAUCCUAUAUGUUUCCAAUUGUCUGAGAAGAAAAUCAUAAGCACCAUGGAUUAUCUUGUGAACAUGGGUUCGCCGCCUGCAGCCAUUGCCAGGGCCCCAGUAGCUCUCUUUUUCAAUUUGGAGAGGAGGAUUGUUCCCAGGUGUUCAGUGGUGAAACUUCUGUUAUUGAAGGGGUUGGUAAAGAAAUAUUUGUGUUUGGGCACUUUUCUUAACCCCACUGAGAGGGCUUUCCUGGAUAGGUUCAUCAUCAAAUAUCAGGAGGAUGUUCCUCAGCUGUUAGAUGUAUAUAAUGGAAAAGUGGGCAUUCAGGAACUUGGACUUGAAAUGUAUGAAGCAGUAGCAGCAUUUGGACUUGGCCAUUGCAAGUAACUACAAUUCCUUGUCUACUUGAGUGUUACUCGAAUUUCCUUCACAUUAGGUUCACUUGAUUUUUGCAUAUUAGCACCUUAAGAGUACAUUUGAUAGUGAUUUUAGAAAGUAUUUUUAAUAUUUUUAAUACUUAAAAUAUAAAAAAUUUCAAGUAUUAAAAAUAUUAAAAACACUUCUAAGAAUCAUUGCUAAACACACUCUAACUCUAGUGGAGUUGCAUUAUUUUUUAGUGUUGAAAAUAAAAUUGCUCAAUUAAGUCUCUAAAAGCAAGACAUGAUGUAACAAAGUUAGACUUAAGUAUCCUCUUGCUAUCCCAAUGGUAUAUUGACAUUGAUUUAAACAUUCGGUAUAUAUCUCUUACAUUGUAUAUGAUUUAAGUGCAUUAAGAGUUGUACAAAUGAUACAAGUCAUGAAUUCCUUAUAAAUAAAUAAGUUGUCCAUAAUCGAUUCAUAGAUUUGGGCAAUCUAGUAGAUACUGUAGUGCAUCACCCUCUAAUUGGAGGGAUGACUUAUCUUGGUCGUUGAGAUGGUUUUCUAUGGUGAGUACACUACUGUGAUGCACACUGGACAUGAUCUACAAUGAACCAUGAUGCAAGGCUACCAAUUGCCAUGAUUCACCAAGUCAUUAUGCUACAUGAACUCUCAACCUUGAGAGGAUAUUGAACUUGUGCAAAAGUUAGCAAUUGCUUUGACAUACGAGUGAAAUCGUUAGUUGAUCAUAUAUUCCCUGUGGAUUGGGACACUCUUGAUGAAAGUUGGUAGCAACAAGUAUUCUCAAUAAAGACACUAUAAUAUUUCAUAAGAUUGAGACAACGUGUCUUCUUAAGUGAUUUAAAAGAUUGAUCAUGAAAUCUAUGACACCAUAGUAAUUCUUUAAGUGGAAUCUGACAUAUGUUUUUUAUGAGUUAGAGUACAUCAUUUGAUCACAUAAUAAGUGAGAUCUAAAACUCAAGGAUUGGUGAGGUAAUCUUGAUAGGUAAUUGUUAGAUUAUUGACACUAGUUCAUGAAGAGUCUGCAUGUAGUGGAUAGUAGGUUAUAAACUCGAACUUUGUCUCAUUGUUAUUUACAUAGGAUACUAGAGUGCAAUUGAUUUUCUUUAGUGAAAUGUUGAAUCAACUUCAGAAUUUUAAGGGAACCAGUACUCCUAUGGGUCUUAGCGAUCCCCACUCUAAGCUCAUAUACCACGAUAACACGAUUUAUGAAGGUUGGAUUAGUUCUAGGUUCAAUCUUGUGCAUAAGGGCAUUCUUGUGAUUAUGCAAAUGUUGCACAAGGGAUAGUGAAUAAGGUAUCCGGAUUGGACUAAAUAAUUAAUUAAAUCACUUUGUAUGGUUAAUUAAUCAAUUAGGACCCAUUUUGGGCUAGUUUAAGUGACCUAAGCCUUGGCAGACUCAAUUCACUUAAGCUUAGUAGGGGAACCCUAUAAAUACCCCUUUAGGGGUAAGAGUUUCCAUUACUUUUGGUGAAAGUAGUCUUCCAACUCCAAAGAGAGAGAGAGAGAGAGAGAGAGAGAGAGAGAGAGAGAGAGUCAAAUCAUCAUAUAGAAGAUCUUGAGUGUACAAAACCUUUAGGCAUGUUCUUCACUAGGAGGAAUUGAUUUGGAAACAUCCAAAUCCAAGUAUAAGUUUUUUCUCAACUAGGUCUUUAUCUUAAUAUAGUUUUUGUAGUUAUAUGUUUAUGUUACGAUAGAUUUAGAGAAGUCUAGGAUAGUUUUACUUACACCCUACAAGAUCCAGGGACAUGGAAUGAAGAAAUUUGAAUACGUCCAGCAGCUAUGUCUUUAAUUCUAUUAUUAUCAACAAAGUUUAUCUCAACAUUCUUUCCUUUUGCCUUUUGUGAGACUUAGUAUAGGUCAACUAAAUGUUAUGACGUACAAUAGGUAUGUAAUCAAAUACUCUUUUGUACUACAUUUGUAAUAUUCAUUCAUGAGUUUGUUUACCUUGUAUAUCUUUCCCAUUUUUUGAUGAUUUCGCUUCACUAUUGUUCCACUUUUGGUGGUAGGUGGUAUUUUUCCUCUGAUGACCACCAUAGUAUUUGGAAUUAUGUUUGCCACAACCAUGACUGUGUCGUUGACCAUGUUCAUGUCCACGACCACACCUAGAAUCAUGGGAUGAGGUCACAUUCGCUUCUAGGAAUAGUAUAAAGUCAAUUAGAUGAAAUUGAUGGUUUUUCAAUAAAAACUCAUUAUUUUGUUUAGCAACAAGAAGACACGAAAUCAUUUCAAAAUAUUUGAUAAAUCUUUGCUCUCAAUAUUGUUGUUGUAGGAGCACAUUCAAGGCAUGGAGAAUAGUAAAUGUCCUUUUCAACAAAUCUUCUUCAGUAACUUUCUCACCACAAAACUUCAAUUGGAAGCAAAUUUUGAAUAAUACAAUGUUAUAUUCACUAAGAAACUUCAAAUCUUGUAAUCUCAAAUGCAUUCAAUAAUAACAAGUUUUGGACAAUAUUACAAUCUUUUGGUGGUUGUAUCUUUUUUAAAUUGAUCCAAAGAAUAAAAGGGUUCUUUAUUGUGAGAUAUUCAUUUUUUAAUCCUUCAUCAAUAUGAUGUUGAAGGAAAAUUAAUGCCUUUAUGCGAUUUUGCAGGAAAGCGUAAUUACUUUCCUUAAUGGUUUAUCCAAGGUUUAUGGUAUCAAGAUGAAUUUCAACAUUUAAAAUCCAUGAUAAAUAGUUUUUCCUUAUAUAUUAAGAGUAACAAACUCAAGUUUUGUGAGAUUUGAUAUUAUUAGCAUACAUAUAUAUAUAACACGUUCAUUUGGUAGAAGGUUUCCAUUUCCAAAAUAGAAAAAAGAAUCCAAAAUUAUAAAAUCCACAUUGAAUACGAUAAACUCAAACUAAUUAAGACCCUAUGUAUUUUUAGAUCAAAUGAUAGUUCGAAAACAGUACUUUUCAAUGAUAUAAGUGAGGGUGUAACUUGAGCAAAUUAGCCCAAGCCAAUUCGACGGUGAGCUAUCUGAUCAAGUUGACAAUAUAGAUGCUACUUUGACCUCAAUAUGACAUUUGAUUGAAUUAUUUUUAAAAGGUUAAUUUUGUUUUUUGAUUUUUUUUUAUUUGAUUAAAACCAUUAAAUAAUCCUAAGGAAAUUUUCUUGGAAAAAUAAUCUUCACUUUUAAAACCUACAGGAAUAAUUCGAAAUAGUGAAAGAUAUUUGUGGAUGAUGGAUUAGAUUUCAAGUUCUCAAGUGGGAUAUGGAGAUGUUAGAUGUAGAGGGAUCUUUUCAUCGACCAAUUAGUUCUUUAUUUUCUUCUUAUACAUACUGUGUACCAACACAGCCUUUUCUCAGUUCUAUGACCGUUGGGGGGAGGAGCAAAGUUCUGCGGGCUGUUUGUUUCCAUAGAAAACAAUUUUGGAGAAAUUUUUCACGCGGAAACUUUUCAGGGAUAGCCAACGUUGGUGAUCAUAUAAAGCUUGUCCUGAGAAAUGUGUAGUAAUUUCCGCCGUGGCAGACUAGGGUUACUCCCAAGCUGGAGGCGUAUUGAGGGAGCGUCAAUGACCCAGCUGCAUUUUCUUGGGAAUAUUACUCCAUUUGUCAUCAGAUGUUUUUCAUCGUCCAAACAGCGUUCUUUUACAGUUUCUUACCUCAUAAGCUCAUGUGGGUUGUCCCCAGAAACGGCCAUUUCUACAUCCAAGAAGGUACAAUUUGAAAACCCUAAAAACCCAGACUCUGUUCUUGCCCUUCUCAGAAACCAUGGAUGCACCGAUAC
rnacentral:lncRNA from 1 species